ensembl:miRNA
UCCAUCCCUGAACUCGAGCUGAAUCGCAGAAUCAGCCCAAGUUCAGGGGCUGCAA